GCUUGAGUGGUUGAAGUGGUUAAUACAUUUGGCUGAUAACUGAAAGUUUGAAGGUUUGAAUCCUCCCAGAGGCA
rnacentral:tRNA from 1 species